rnacentral:tRNA from 1 species
GAGAGAGGUCUUGAGACAGUAGAAACUGCUAAUUUUUAUACCCACGGCUAAAUUCCGCGGCUCACUCGC